rnacentral:rRNA from 1 species
GACCUCGGAUCAGGUAGGGAUACCCGCUGAACUUAAGCAUAUCAAUAAGCGGAGGAAAAGAAACCAACAGGGAUUGCCUCAGUAACGGCGAGUGAAGCGGCAACAGCUCAAAUUUGAAAUCUGGCUCUUUCAGGGUCCGAGUUGUAAUUUGUAGAAGAUGCUUUGGGUGUAGCUCCGGUCUAAGUUCCUUGGAACAGGACGUCAUAGAGGGUGAGAAUCCCGUAUGUGACUGGGUGCUUUCGCUCGUGUAAAGCUCUUUCGACGAGUCGAGUUGUUUGGGAAUGCAGCUCAAAAUGGGUGGUAAAUUUCAUCUAAAGCUAAAUAUUGGCCAGAGACCGAUAGCGCACAAGUAGAGUGAUCGAAAGAUGAAAAGCACUUUGGAAAGAGAGUUAAACAGUACGUGAAAUUGUUGAAAGGGAAGCGCUUGCAACCAG